rnacentral:misc_RNA from 1 species
AUGAUAUGAGUUUAUUUGUUACAAAAAUGUAGUAGGUUUCCCCACAGCUAAACCUCUACAGGUUCAACUGAAUCGACUGCUUUUCCGCUCGAACUAUGUAUACAUAUGAAGAAAAAAAAAGACAAAAUGUAUACAUAUAAUACAAUUACACUUAUUUUCAAACCACUUACUCAACAUUCUGGAUUCUGAAUUCGCCUUUGAUCAUACGUAUAAUAUGUACUUCCAACCAAAAGAAUGUGACAUUUUGACAUAGUGAAUGUCCUCAGAAUGCAGCUUUCCAUAGUGCAUUCUCUCCCUCGCCACAAUGGCGAUGGACCUCCUUCAUCCUAUCGACAGACCUGCAUAUUCCACUGCAGGUCCAGUCGAAAGAGGCAACACAAACGUUGCCUGCCUGUGCCUUCCAUUCACAAUCAGGUGGG